rnacentral:rRNA from 1 species
AACGACGCUGGCGGCAGGCUUAACACAUGCAAGUCGAACGGUUGUAGCAAUACAGCAGUGGCAGACGGGUGAGUAACACGUGGGAACCUUCCUAGGGGUACGGAACAACUCAGGGAAACUUGAGCUAAUACCGUAUACGUCCGUGAGGAGAAAGAUUUAUCGCCCUUAGACGGGCCCGCGUCGGAUUAGCUAGUUGGUGGGGUAACGGCCUACCAAGGCGACGAUCCGUAGCUGAUCUUAGAGGAUGAUCAGCCACACUGGGACUGAGACACGGCCCAGACUCCUACGGGAGGCAGCAGUGGGGAAUCUUGGACAAUGGGCGCAAGCCUGAUCCAGCCAUGCCGCGUGAGUGAAGAAGGUCUUCGGAUUGUAAAGCUCUUUCGGUGGGGAAGAAAUUGCACGGGAUAAUACCCUGUGUAGAUGACGGUACCUGGAGAAGAAGCACCGGCUAACUACGUG